rnacentral:rRNA from 1 species
AGUGAACGCUGGCGGUAGGCCUAACACAUGCAAGUCGAACGGCAGCACAGUAAGAGCUUGCUCUUACGGGUGGCGAGUGGCGGACGGGUGAGGAAUACAUCGGAAUCUACUUUUUCGGGGGGGAUAACGUAGGGAAACUUACGCUAAUACCGCAUACGACCUACGGGUGAAAGCAGGGGAUCUUCGGGCCUUGCGCGAUUGAAUGAGCCGAUGUCGGAUUAGCUAGUUGGCGGGGUAAGGGCCCACCAAGGCGACGAUCCGUAGCGGGUCUGAGAGGAUGAUCAGCCACACUGGAACUGAGACACGGUCCAGACUCCUACGGGAGGCAGCAGUGGGGAAUAUUGGACAAUGGGCGCAAGCCUGAUCCAGCCAUACCGCGUGAGUGAAGAAGGCCUUCGGGUUGUAAAGCCCUUUUGUUGGGAAAGAAAAGCAGCAGGUUAAUACCCCGCUGUUCUGACGGUACCCAAAGAAUAAGCACCGGCUAACUUCGUG